AAUCAAGAAGAAGAAAAAGAGAAAAGAUCAUAUUAGAAUAAUUAUUAUAAAUACCACAUAUUGUGAAUGUCAAUUACAUUAUUUUAUGAAUAAGAUUGAAAUGAAGUAAAUACUUUGUUCAGUAGUUCAAGUAGAUAAUUUUCUAAAAAGCGUUGCAGCAACUUCCUGAGACCUACAAUCAAGAGAUAACAUACAAAUAACUCAGUGAGUAUUUGGGGCUACAAUUUGAGAAUUCAUAUGAUAUUGGAGUAAUUUCAAAGUCAGCCAAUGCCUACUGCUUGGUUGCAAUUUUGGUAAUUAAGGCUUUGAAUUCUAGAAAUAUUGAAAACUUGGAGGUGGUGGAUUCGCCAUUGAUGAUAUGGUUAAGGAUAGGGAUAGCCCAUGCAAAUUGUAUGGAAGGAAGAUGUGCAGCUCUUGGUGUGGCAUUGGUGCAUAUUAAUUGCAAAUAAGUAUUGAAAAAAAUUAUGGAGAAAAAUAUUCCUUUUGUCCCAAUUUGGACAAUUUAUGUUGCAUAUUUAACUUUUGAGAUUCAAAGAAAGUGUGUUUGAUCAUGAAUUUGGACAUGAAAUUUUAUAUUCUUUUGAAAUAAAAUUUAUAAUUAGGAGAUUGCGUAAAAAGUACUGUAAAUCACAAUAACUAACUACUCAAAAUAUUUAAAACAAAUAUGAAAAAUUAUGUUCAAACUUA